GACUCUGAGUGGUGGAUUACUCAGCUCAUGCAUCAAUGAAGAACGUAGCAAGCUGCGAGAACUAAUGUGAAUUGCAGGACACAUUGAUCUCAACACUUUGAAUGCACUUUGCAGCCCUGGGUUAUUCCUGGGGCUGUGCCUGUAUGAGAGUCA